UGAUAGCUACUCCCUCCGUCCCAUAACAAACCUAGUACUGGAUGUGACACAUCCUAGUACUACGAAUCUGGACAUAUCUUUGUCCAGAUUUAUUUAGUAGAAUGUGCCACAUCCCGUCCUAGAUUUAUUUUUUCUGGACGGAUGGAGUAC
rnacentral:misc_RNA from 1 species